CAGCAGUAGGGAAUCUUCCACAAUGGGCGAAAGCCUGAUGGAGCGAUGCCAUGUGAAUGAUGAAGGCCAUACCGGUCGUAAAGUUCUUUUAGGGGGGAAAAUUAUGAUGGUACCUCCUGAAUAAGUGACAGCAAACUAUGUGCCAGCAGCUGCGGUAAUACAUAGGUCGCAAGCGUUAUUCGGAUUUAUUGGGCGUAAAGCAAGCGCAGGCGGAUGAAUAAGUUCUGCAUUAAAAGCAGCUGCUUAACAGUUGUUUGUGCCGAAUACUAUUCAUCUAGAAUGUGGUAGGAAGUUUUGGAAUUAAAUAUGGAGCGGUGGAAUGUGUAGAUAUAUUUAAGAACACCAGAGGCGAAGGCGAAAACUUAGGCCAUUAUUGACGCUUAGGCUUGAAAGUGUGGGUAGCAAAUGGGAUUAGAUACCCCAGUAGUCCACACCGUAAACGAUGGGUAUUAGAUGUCGGGACUUAAGUUUCGGCGUUGUAGCUUACGUGUUAAAUACCCCGCCUGGGUAGUACAUAUGCAAAUAUGAAACUCAAAGGAAUUGACGGGGACCUGAACAAGUGGUGGAACAUGUUGCUUAAUUCGAUAAUACACGAAAAACCUUACCAAGGUUUGACAUCCCCCGCGAAACCGCAGAAAUGCGGCGGAGGUUAUCGGGGUGACAGGUGGUGCAUGGUUGUCGUCAGCUCGUGUCAUGAGAUGUUUGGUUAAGUCCCGCAACGAGCGCAACCCUACUCUUUAGUUAAUUGUCUAAAGAGACUGAACAGUAAUGUAUAGGAAGGAUGGGAUCACGUCAAAUCAUCAUGCCCCUUAUGCCUUGGGCCGCAAACGUGUUACAAUGGUGAGUACAAUGUGUUGCAAACCAGCGAUGGUAAGCUAAUCACCAAAGCUCAUCUCAGUCCGGAUAAAAGGCUGCAAUUCGCCUUUUUGAAGU
rnacentral:rRNA from 1 species